UCCGAAAUGGUCUAGUGGCUAGGAUUUGUCGCUCUCAUCUCUCCCGAUGGCGCCGACAAGGCCGGGGUUCAAUUCCCCGUUUCGGAA